rnacentral:rRNA from 1 species
GAUGAACGCUAGCGGCAGGCUUAACACAUGCAAGUCGAGGGCGAGCGCGGAGUAGCAAUAACUCUGGCGGCGACCGGCGGAAGGGUAGCGUAACAACGUGAGCGACUUGUCCCGUCCACAGGGAGGAUAACCGCUGGAAACGGACGACUAAUAUCCCACUAUGAUGGCGAUCUGCAUGGAUUGUUCAUUGAAAGAAUUCAUCGGUGGCGGAUAGGCUCGCGGGGCGAUUAGCUAGACGGCGGGGC